rnacentral:rRNA from 1 species
GACGAACGCUGGCGGCGUGCUUAACACAUGCAAGUCGAACGAUGAACCUCGAAAUGAUUUCUUCGGAAAGAUUUUUGAGAGGAUUAGUGGCGAACGGGUGAGUAACUCGUGAGCAACCUGCCUUAGACAAGGGGAUAGCCUCGGGAAACCGUGAUUAAUACCCUAUGGGACUCCACUUACGAGUGUAAGAGAAGUUAAAGCUAUUGCGGUCUAAGAUGGUCUCGCGUCUGAUUAGCUAGUUGGUGAGAUAAAAGCCCACCAAGGCGACGAUCAGUAACCGGCUUGAGAGAGUGAACGGUCACAUUGGAACUGAGACACGGUCCAAACUCCUACGGGAGGCAGCAGUGGGGAAUAUUGCACAAUGGGGGCAACCCUGAUGCAGCGACGCCGCGUGAGCGAUGAAGGAAUUCGUUUCGUAAAGCUCUGUCCUUGGAGAAGAUAAUGACGGUAACCAAGGAGGAAGCACCGGCUAAAUACGUG